rnacentral:rRNA from 1 species
AACGAACGCUGGCGGCAGGCUUAACACAUGCAAGUCGAACGCAUCCUUCGGGGUUAGUGGCGGACGGGUGAGUAACACGUGGGAACGUGCCUUUAGGUUCGGAAUAACUCAGGGAAACUUGUGCUAAUACCGAAUGUGCCCUUCGGGGGAAAGAUUUAUCGCCUUUAGAGCGGCCCGCGUCUGAUUAGCUAGUUGGUGAGGUAAAGGCUCACCAAGGCUACGAUCAGUAGCUGGUCUGAGAGGAUGACCAGCCACAUUGGGACUGAGACACGGCCCAAACUCCUACGGGAGGCAGCAGUGGGGAAUCUUGCGCAAUGGGCGAAAGCCUGACGCGGCCAUGCCGCGUGGAUGAUGAAGGUCUUAGGAUUGUAAAAUCCUUUCACCGGUGAAGAUAAUGACUGUAGCCGGAGAAGAAGCCCCGGCUAACUUCGUGCCAGCCGCCGCUGUAA